UGGGGAAUAUUGGGCAAUGGGGGAAACCCUGACCCAGCAACGCCGCGUGAAGGAAGAAGGCCUUCGGGUUGUAAACUUCUUUUACCAGGGACGAAGGACGUGACGGUACCUGGAGAAAAAGCAACGGCUAACUACGUGCCGGCAGCCGCGGUAAUACGUAGGUUGCGAGCGUUGUCCGGAUUUACUGGGUGUAAAGGGCGUGUAGGCGGAGAAGCAAGUUGGGAGUGAAAUCUAUGGGCUCAACCCAUAAAACUGCUCUCAAAACUGUUUCCCUUGAGUAUCGGAGAGGCAAGCGGAAAUUCCUAGUGUAGCGGUGAAAAUGCGUAGAUAUUAGGAGGAACACCAGUGGCGAAAGGCGGCUUGCUGGACGACAACUGACGCUGAGGCGCGAAAAGCGUGGGGAGCAAAACAGGAUUAGAUACC
rnacentral:rRNA from 1 species